CCUACGGGAGGCAGCAGUGAGGAAUAUUGGUCAAUGGACGAGAGUCUGAACCAGCCAAGUAGCGUGAAGGAUGACUGCCCCAUGGGUUGUAAACUUCUUUUAUAUGGGAAUAAAAUGUUCCACGUGUGGGAUUUUGUAUGUACCAUAUGAAUAAGGAUCGGCUAACUCCGUGCCAGCAGCCGCGGUAAUACGGAGGAUCCGAGCGUUAUCCGGAUUUAUUGGGUUUAAAGGGAGCGUAGGUGGGUUGGUAAGUCAGUUGUGAAAGUUUGCGGCUCAACCGUAAAAUUGCAGUUGAAACUGGCAGUCUUGAGUACAGUAGAGGUGGGCGGAAUUCGUGGUGUAGCGGUGAAAUGCUUAGAUAUCACGAAGAACUCCGAUUGCGAAGGCAGCUCACUGGACUGCAACUGACACUGAGGCUCGAAAGUGUGGGUAGCAAACAGGAUUAGAUACCCUUGUAGUC
rnacentral:rRNA from 1 species